AUUGAACGCUGGCGGCAGGCCUAACACAUGCAAGUCGAACGAGUGGCGGACGGGUGAGUAAUGUCUGGGAAACUGCCCGAUGGAGGGGGAUAACUACUGGCAACGGUAGCUAAUACCGCAUACCAUCGGAUGUGCCCAGUUUGGAUUAGCUAGUAGGUGGGGUAAAGGCUCACCUCGGCGACGAUCCCUAGCUGGUCUGAGAGGAUGACCAGCCACACGGUAACUGGGACACGGUCCAGACUCCUCCGGGAGGCAGCAGUGGGGAAUAUUGCACAAUGGGCGCAAGCCUGAUGCAGCCAUGCCGCGGGUAUGAAGACGGCCUUCGGGUGGUAAAGUACUUUCAGCGGGGAGGCGUUACCCGCAGAAGAAGCACCGGCUAACUCCGUGCCAGCAGCCGCGGUAAUUC
rnacentral:rRNA from 1 species